GAUGAACGCUGGCGGCGUGCCUAAUACAUGCAAGUCGAACGCUUCACAUAUGUGAAGAGUGGCGAACGGGUGAGUAAUACAUAAGUAACCUGGCCUUUACAGGGGGAUAACUAUUGGAAACGAUAGCUAAGACCGCAUAGGUGUGCAGGUCGCAUGAAGUGCACAUGAAAUAUGCUACGGCAUUGGUAGAGGAUGGACUUAUGGAGCAUUAGCUAGUUGGAGGGGUAACGGCCCACCAAGGCGACGAUGCGUAGCCGACCUGAGAGGGUGACCGGCCACACUGGGACUGAGACACGGCCCAGACUCCUACGGGAGGCAGCAGUAGGGAAUUUUCGGCAAUGGGGGAAACCCUGACCGAGCAACGCCGCGUGAAGGAAGAAGUAAUUCGUUAUGUAAACUUCUGUCAUAGAGGAAGAACGGUGCGUGUAGGGAAUGACAUGCAAGUGACGGUACUCUAUAAGAAAGCCACGGCUAACUACGUGCCAGCAGCCGCCGUAA
rnacentral:rRNA from 1 species